UUUUGUGUAAUUACUUCUUCUACAACAACGCGGUUUUCUAUUAUUCUUCAUUGCUGGUCUGUAGCAUUUGGGGUAAUUAUGAGUUAAAUUAUCUUCUGUGGGCUAGCCAAAAAACCUAACAUCCACUUAAAACCGUCUGUGUUCCUAUUAUGCAAUGGGAACUUGGUUAAUUGAGAUACCAUAAAUCUUCAGACCCACUGAAAAUGUUUAAUAUUCAAAACUAAGUUUUACACAUCGUAUCGAUCAGCACUCUUAGGGAAGCCAGGUCAAGUCCUGCAGUAUCUCUUUGAUUUAAGCAAAGAAGAGGAGAAGAGGAGGCCAAAAAGGGUCACAUGGCUUCCUGUAGGGUCUGAGUCAGCUGCAAGGUGAGAGAGACAGCCUGUGAUUGUUGAAGCCACAGCCUUGAGAUUUAAAGUAAAAUAUGAGCAUCAUGAUGAGGAGAAGGGAUUAUGAAAUGACUUGGAUUUUAGGAUUUAAAAAAAUAUGACUUUUCAUCUUUGCAUCCUUCCAGGCAGCUCACUCACUCCCUCACAGUGCUCAGAGACCUGCUCUGGCACUGAGGUCCUUGUCAUCAGUUGACCUGCUUGCUUUGUCUUGCAGGUUCCUGGGACAUAUUGCAUAUGCUGGGGGAGGCCACACACUGGGAGGGUGCAGCAUUUAGUACAGGGUCAAAGCUAAGGGCGCCCAUGAUCCUUCAACAGCAAAGGGGACCCCCUGCUCAGGGCAGGACAGAGGACAGCUGCAGCCCUCAACCAAAUGCAGAUUCCCUGACCUGUGGUUAAAUUCUGAUCUGGGAAACAGAGAAAGGGCGUUUACUUACUGGUCACGGAAAAUUCCUCUGUUCUCUCCACCUAAGAGGGGGUACCAUAAAACUCAGAAGAAGGAAAAAAAAGGCAUUCUAGGAGAAAACGCAGAUGCUCACACAUAAUAACCAUAUGACCAAAGUGCCUUCACUUUCUAAAACUCGGUCACCUAGCCUGUUAACUGGGGACUCCAGGGGAAUAAAAUGUGCCACCCCAAAAUGUCUCUGGCAUGUGGAUUAUUUCAAGGUGAAAACAAUCAAGGUUCAAAAGACUUGGGAAGAAACUCUGACCUUCCCUCAACUGCUGGAGGAAUUUAGACAGGGCCUCGUACAGGAAUAGAGAGAUGAGUGCAAGGAAUAAGGGCCAGGGGUCGCAGGAAAACUCCUGGAGACCAGGGCCCUCUCUGUGUCCAUCAUUCGGCCUGGCCCAGCAAACACUUAUUCACCAAACAUUGGCUCUUCCAUCUCUUGCAAGUUGCCCUCCUCCUCUUUGAAGCCCAAACCUCUACCCCCCAACAUCUUCUUUUGUCUUUAGCUGAAGAUGGUAUUUAGGGUGAGGGUUUUGGCCACGUUGUGGAGGCAGUUCUCCUGGGUCUCUUCCAUGGGUACAUGUCAUUCAAUAUUUGUUUGACUGUCUCCUGUUCAUCUGUCUCAUGUCAAUCGAUUUUUAGACCAGCCAGGAGACCCUAGAAGGGUAGAAGAAAGUAUCUUCCUCCCGGACAGGAUCCUAAUAUUCUGAAAAUUAUGUGAAAUGAUAAGUAGUUGGCCUGGCAUCUUACACACAGUAAAUUAUGGAUGAUGGUUUGUAUGUGUACUCCUCCCCCCCCACCACUCAUGCAGAUUUUAUUGAAGGGUCUGUGGUGUGAUUCCAUCAGGAGGGUGGACAGGCUCAGAGAGCUGCCUGUCUCUAACCCUCUGUGCCGAGGAAAUGACACAGCUUGAGGCAGCAUGUGGGCAGAGUGGCAGAAACAUCGUAACUUCAAUUUUCCCCAUCUUAAAAAGAUGCACCAGGUGCCAGAAGGUCCAGGAGGGGCUCAUGGCUGGAAGGUGGGAAGGGCCUUAGCAGGCAGGCUCUCGGCAUGAUGCCCGCAUGCCAACUGCCUCCCCAACUCAACUAGACCCAACCUCAGCAAAAGCAUCUUCCAAAUAAUAAACCAACAGAUGAACCUGAGAUAAUCUGGGGCGCUCAUGAGGGGAUUAAAAAAAAAUCAAGACAGGUGAACAUGUAGUUGCUAACUUAACAGGUGACACACAUUUCUGCCAGCCCUAAACACAUCUCGGACCUUAAUUCUUGCUUCUCACCUCAUGAUUGUGAAGGUUCUUCCCAGUAAUGAUGAUGUUAAAAGUCCUCCCUGGGGAAGCCGAGGUGGUUCUUUCUGUCCACUGCAUCUCAUGCUGGACCCCAUCAGAUCUGUAACAGGGGCUGCCCAGUGCUACCCCACCCCCCGCCCCACCCUGAGCUGGCCACAGAGUAAGCACAGUCAGCAGGCCAAGGGCUAAACUGAACCCAGUGGUCAAAUUCACUUAAAAGCCAGCAAAUGAACAACAAGGCAUAGAUCAGAGCUGUGAGUUGUCUAGAGCAGUUCUGAAAGUCCCAGAGUCCUGAAGGCUUGAAAAUCCCUCCUCCCACCCCCAGCUUUGGCAUGUGGCCUGUGUGCCAGAGAUGCAGAUGUGUUCCCACCAAUCGGUGAUCUACACUCUAUCAGGCUAGCCAGCCCUUCACGUCCAGGCUGGCUAGAUCCCAGCAGCCAUUCCCAAUCGGGGACACGCCAGCUUCCUGGGCAGAAAACCUGGGUAGCCUGUCUGCCCUACUCGCCUUUCUCUGUGUGUCUCCCCACAGUGGGGCAGAUCUCCGCAGCCUCACGACUAGUCAGUUAUUCAACUUCUGCUAAGAUCCCUCAGCUUCACUCCUUAUCUUGUCCUCGGGGGCUUGGUGAAGCCCUUCGCAUAGUUUCAGGUCAGAUGGGGAUCACUGGGGACUCUACUGUCCCCUCUGGCAAGUGAUUUAUGCAGAAUUCAAGUCCCUCAGGCUGCCAAGGUCUCUAACCAAUUGCCUGCCUGAAUGUCCAGGUACUAUAUUUUGAAGGGAAGGAAACCCUUUGGACGUAAGUGCUUCAUUGCUGUGGAGGAAAGAGUCCAUUAUGAGAGACUGGGCACCUGUGAGAUGGAUUAAAACAUAAACUAUCUGGAGGUCCUUAACAAACCCGACUAGGAACCAUGAGGAUGCGGGUUCAAUCCCCGGCCUCACUCAGGGGGUUAAGGAUCUGGUGUUGCCGUGAGCCGGGGUGUAGGUCACAGACGCAGCCCAGAUCCUGCGUUGCUGUGGCUGUGGCAUAGGCUGGCAGCUGUAGCUCCAAUUCGACCCCUAUCCCAGGAACUUCUAUAUGCCGCAAGUGCGGCCCUAAAAACCAAAAAAAAAAAAAAAAAAGCAUAAACUUACUUAACCCUUAGCAUCUACGAUGAUGUCUGUGCUUAAUAUCUAAGGCACGGCUGCUGACCUGCAGGAACUCGCAGGCUAACCCAGACCAGGCUCGGUGACCAGUCCUGUCAGAACAAAGCUCUGCAGCAAGUGUGCUGGGAACUCAGACCCAGGGUGGCUCCUGACCUCAAGCAGAAAGCAGGUGCUGAGUGGACCUGGGAGAGGACCGCUCCUGCUCAAACUCUGUAUGUGGGUGGGGCGGGAGGGAAGAAGGAGAGCAGGCAGAAAUGGAAGGAGGCGAGAGUAUCCCCUGGCAGUCCCCAGGGAGGCCUCAUUAGCUCCUGCAACAAGCUGCACAUCCAUGUGGCUCCAGAGCCAGAACACCCUCCUCUUCCUCCCACCUGGGGCUAUUGGCAGGGCAGAUACUCGAGUGAGUGCACAGAAAUGAACAGCAGUGCUUAAGUCAGGUAGCUAGGGAGUGGCAGAAGAAAACUCACACCCAGGAGGGUCCUCGGGGCCCUGCAUUCCAUUCUUUUUUACUCGGGCACUAAGGUGGCUGUGAGUGGUGAGGUACCUGCAGGCUUGCAGGGGACAUAUACGUGCAGGCAGGGUCACUGGAGACCAGACUUGCUCCGAUGCUCUGGGGCAGGAAAAGGCUCUGGGGAAGUGGUUCUCAGCAUUACAAAUACUGGAAAAGAUCUUAAAAGCGCUCAGUUCCAGACAUUUUGCUAUCAUUGGUCUGAGAUCCCGGCUAUGGAAUGUUUAGCAAGCAUCUCAGCUAACUCCAGCCCAGACUCAGUUAGCCCUGCAACCGGAAGGGCUCCUAUGGGCUUAUGCUGGCUUCAGUGGCUACAUCUCCACUGUCCCAGGGCAAAAGGGAAGUCUUCCCAUGGAUCCAAGUCCUCAUUCAGUGCAGGCAGCUUAAACAAUGAAAUGCAUAUGCUGGGGACUUGUUCUAAAUAACCUAGCAGCAUUUCUGGGAGUUCCCACUAUGGCGUAGCAGGCUAAGGGUCUAGCACUUUCUCUGUGACACUGUGGUUUAAGGAUCCUGUGUUGCCGCAGCUAUGGCAUAAACUGCAGCUGCAGCUUAGAUGCAAUCCGGCCCGGGAACUCACAUAUGCCGUGGGUGCCAAAAAUAGUAAUAAUAAUAAUAACUAGGAGCUAUUCUGAAUUUUCUGAUGUAUACACAAAGAAAAGCUGCUGAUAGUAAGUGCAAAAGAUAGAAAAACAUCCUGGCAAACAACAAGGGCCCCGUCGCUUUGGCAAAAUCCUGCUGCUCAGAUUAUUCCUUGGCAGUAGUUAACCCUCAAAUACUUGGUUCUAAACGGAUUAGCGCAGAACUCCAAAUGAAAAUGCAAGAGUAUUUGAGAAGAGAGUUUUUAAGCCAUAAUCCCAGAUCAGCAAGCCUGGAUCAGCAAGACUGAUUAUCCUGUCACACCAAAAAAAAAAAAAAAAGCAAAAAAAAAAG
rnacentral:lncRNA from 1 species